UACGGGGGGAGCAAGCGUUGUUCGGAUUUACUGGGCGUAAAGGGCGCGUAGGCGGUCAGCACAAGUCAGUUGUGAAAUCUCCGGGCUUAACUCGGAAAGGUCAACUGAUACUGUGCGACUAGAGUGCGGAAGGGGCAACUGGAAUUCUUGGUGUAGCGGUGAAAUGCGUAGAUAUCAGGAGGAACACCUGCGGUGUAGACGGCUUACUGGACCAUAACUGACGCUGAGGCACGAAAGCGUGGGUAGCAAACAGG
rnacentral:rRNA from 1 species